AGAGGCUGUAGCAGUUGCACUUUAAGCAUGUUAACUGCUGUGCUUCCUUGGUAUCAGGGUUGGUCAGAAGAGCAGAAUAGACUGUCACUUCUUUGAAGCGUGUCCAAGCUGAAGUGGGAAGCUUCACAAAAUUCCUGUGUCGGCCUGCUGAUCACAGACCUCUUCUCUUAGUUUCAAUCCACUUACCCAAGUCUUUUUGUACUUAUCCUUUUUUUGUAGGCUACUUUGAAGUCUGUAUGGUUACAUCUCCACUUUCUUGACUGGGAACUUCAGAAAUGGACCCUAGUUGGUUGCCUUUUAUCUCCCUGGUGUGGACAAGAAGGAGCACAGAGGUCUCCUCUCGAUCCGAUACCCAAUGGAACAUGGCAUAGUGAAGGACUGGAAUGAUACGGAGCGCAUUUGGCAGUACGUGUGUUCCAAAGAUCAGCUUCGGACUUCCUCAGAGGAGCAUCCUGUGCUGUUGACAGAAGCACCACUAAACCCACUCAAGAACAGAGAACGUGCUGCUGAACUGAAGUGUUUUUUGAGACCUUCAAUGUUCCAGCACUGUUCAUCUCCAUGCAGGCUGUGCUCAGUCUGUAAGUACCUCUCAUCUUCAAUGUGCACUUGCAAAAUGUUUCUUGAAAUCUUUUCUUUU